GACGAACGCUGGCGGCGUGCUUAACACAUGCAAGUCGAGCGGUAAGGCCCUUUCGGGGGUACACGAGCGGCGAACGGGUGAGUAACACGUGGGUGACCUGCCUCUAGCUCUGGGAUAAGCCUGGGAAGCUGGGUCUAAUACCGGAUAUGACUCCACGGCGCAUGUUGUGGGGUGAAAGCCUUGUGUGGCUAGAGAUGGGCCCGCGGCCUAUCAGCUUAUUGGUGGGGUGAUGGCCUACCAAGGCGACGACGGGUAGCCGGCCUGAGAGGGCGACCGGCCACACUGGGACUGAGACACGGCCCAGACUCCUACGGGAGGCAGCAGUGGGGAAUCUUGCGCAAUGGGCGAAAGCCUGACGCAGCGACGCCGCGUGAGGGAUGACGGCCU
rnacentral:rRNA from 1 species